rnacentral:tRNA from 3 species
CGCGCUGCUGCGCGGGCGGCACGUAGCAGCGGUUCAUGCUCGCUGAUAGUGAGGUUGCGUCCCCGUGACGCGG